rnacentral:misc_RNA from 1 species
ACAAACUUGGUCAUUUAGAGGAAGUAAAAGUCGUAACAAGGUUUCCGUAGGUGAACCUGCGGAAGGAUCAUUAAAAAAAAAAGAACCAUAGUGAGUGAAGGAAUGUCAAAAUUCUGGAUCUACUAUAACCCUUUUUAACCCUGCUUAAAUUGACCUCAUGUUGCUUUGGUAGACCAAAAAGUUGAUUCUUUUGGCUGGCCCUUAAAUUAUUAGGUCUGGUUAGUGUCUACCAAUAGCCCCCCAAUCAAAACUUCUGUAUAAAUUUUGUCUGAAUUUAAGGUUACUUUAUAACCUUUAACUGUUUAAUUCAUAACUUCGGUUAUAAUCAAACAAAAAUACAACUUUCAACAAUGGAUCUCUUGGCUCUGGCAUCGAUGAAGAACGCAGC